GGCCCACAACACCUUCACCUUCAUCACCGCCACCAAGCCUCGCGCCCGCCCCCUCCCCUUGUGGCAUCCCGCUGUUGCUACGUCUCGCACGUAGGCUUGCAAACCAUCUGAUGCUCAGCUCUAGUGGUGCGUUCAUGCAGGACUACGGCACCAGCAGCAGAGUCGGUAGCACGGUCACCUGGUCCAUCUCCGGUGGCUCUCUCUUCCGCGGCAGCAGCGCGGACUCGCCAGUGAUAACGAGCAGCACUGGCAUGAAUGACAUCCCGGAUGAUGUGCAUCGGACGGUGAUACAGCAGCUGGCGCAGUCGUUCCGCUACGCGCCCUAUGUCAAGGGUCUCUUUCUGCUGUGGGUUCCGCUGGUGCUGAUACUGGCUCUCGCCCCGUCCACAGUCGAUGCCUCCAGCUCCGCAUUGCCGCUGAUACCUGUGUCGAGGACGGCCGGGAACGCACUGUUCUGGUGUGCACUGCUGCUUAUUGUACCCACCAAUACGCUUCUUAUCGAGUAUGUCAAGGACCUGGUGGUGCGCCACGACAGCCCUUCGCUCGGCAUCGCCGCCAACCUUGUCGCCGAGCACGCGGCGGAGCUCACCUUCUCCUUCUUUGCCAUGGCCCACUCGAAGCGAUCUCUGUGCUGGGUGAAGCCGAUGCUGCUCGGGUGCACCCUGCUGAACCUGCUCGGUGUCCUCGGCUCCUCCAUUCUAGCCGCGCCGCUGGCGGACGGCACUUCCGUCGAUCUCGGCAUCUCCUCCUGGACCGCCUUCAGCGCCAGCGGCGUGGUUUUCUCAACGGUCGUCUUCCUUCUCCCCACGGUGUACGGCGUGACGGUGGUCGGGCCCAACGCCGUCGAUCAGCUGCGUCGCCAGCACGCACCCGCCAAGGAGGUGGAGGAGCAGCGGAUGUACAGCAUGCUGUUCAUCUCUCGGAGUCUGGCGCUCUGCGUCUUGGCCGUCUACGCCCUCUACCUCUGGAAAGUGAUGCGGGCGAACAGCAACUACGACCUCUCCUCCGACAGCCCUGAGGCGCCGUCGAGCCUCAUCUACGCGCUUCAGUACCACGAACGGCUGCGCGGCACGCGGGACGUCGACCUCGGCAGUCGCUACUCGCAACGUUUUGCGGUGAUGGGGACGCUGGUUUGUGUAACAACGUUGACGACGCUGUGCUUGGUGCUGGUCGCGACGCUGCCGGCAGCCAAGACAACAACGUCGGUACCGCUCCCCUUCACACUGGUGAUUCUCCUACCAUGUGUCUUUGAAGCCGGCGGCGCGGCGGCGUCGGUUCUCUUGUCGCAAGCCGGCAGACCCGACAUCGCCGCCAUCAUCGCCUUCACGUCCAUCGUGCAUCUGUACAUGUUUAUUCUGCCAGUGCUGGUGCUGGUAGGGUGGUGGGCACUGCAGGCCCCCCUGGAGCUGUCCUUUCACCCUUUCCUGGCCUGCUGCUGCUUCGUCUCAACGCUGGUGGUGGCGCAGGUGGUGGCGUCCAACCGCGUGCGGUGGCUAGAGGGCGGGACGCUGCUGGCGCUCUACGCGCUCAUUGUGUGUAUCUGUCUGCUCGGACGCUGGCAUCUGUGCAUGCGUGCAGACGACUCCUACUACUAGCGUCCGCGUGCGCAGCACUGUGUGUCGUGAAGUCUUCCGUGAAGCCCUGUCAGGUGCAGUGCAGCAUGUGGAACGAAGAGACGCCGUGCACGUGCGCAUGCGUGUGUGUGUGUGCGUGUGUGUGUGUGUGUGUCUUUCUGUGCCUUGGCUGACGAGCACGCAAGUGAGAGUUGCCUUAGUGCGCGGAUGUGUUUGAGCGUCCACAUCGAAGACGGAAGAGGUGAGCAGCACGAGCAGGUAGCACAACGCGCCGCCAUUCGCAUGCUAGGAGCAGCGAUGUGAGGUUGAGCAUACCCCGUGACGAAGAUAGAGGAGGAAGGGAGGGAUUGGGUUGGGUCAGCAGCAUUCGACAGAUAUGCCGCGUCAUGCCCAAUGCGUGCAUACGCGGCUAUAUUCGGGUCAGCACGUGUCGGGUGUGGCAUACCACAGCUGCUGCUCUGUGCACUAGCACCAGCACACGCACGCACACUACAGCGCCUUCCACACACCCCUCCCUCUCCCUCUCUCCUGUCCAUGGUUUUCGCCUUUGAUCAGGGCGCCCUACAGCCACCCUCUCAGCUUCUCGCCAUCCGUCACCUCCGGGCCCCUAACGCGCCUCUCUCUCUCUCUCGCUUGGGUGGGAAGAGUGAGCGAGUGAGCAACGCAACGCGAGACGCACUCGUUGGGUCGCCUCCCCACCAUCUCAUCACCCACUACCAUCCCAUCCUGAAUCUCUAG
rnacentral:misc_RNA from 1 species